GAUGAAGAACGUAGCGAAAUGCGAUAAGUAAUGUGAAUUGCAGAAUUCAGUGAAUCAUCGAAUCUUUGAACGCACAUUGCGCCCGCCAGUAUUCUGGCGGGCAUGCCUGUUCGAGCGUCAUUUCAACCCUCAAGACCCCUUCGGGGGACUUGGUGUUGGGGACCGGCACAGGGGCCUGCCUGCUUGUCUUGCAGCGCCCUCGCCGCCCCCGAAAUGAAUUGGCGGCCUCGUCGCGGCCUCCCCUGCGUAGUAGCACAAACCUCGCAACGGGAACGUGACGGCGGCCACUGCCGUAAAACAUCCCAAUUUUAUUAGAGUUGACCUCGAAUCAGGUAGGAAUACCCGCUGAACUUAAGCAUAUCAAUAAGCGGAGGA
rnacentral:misc_RNA from 1 species